rnacentral:tRNA from 1 species
GGGGCCUUAAGCUCAGCUGGGAGAGGCGCUGCCUUGCACGCAACGGAGGUCAGCGGUUGCGAUCCCGCUAGGCUCCACCA